GACGAACGCUGGCGGCGUGCCUAAUACAUGCAAGUAGAACGCUGAAGAGAGGAGCUUGCUCUUCUUGGAUGAGUUGCGAACGGGUGAGUAACGCGUAGGUAACCUGCCUUGUAGCGGGGGAUAACUAUUGGAAACGAUAGCUAAUACCGCAUAACAAUGGAUGACACAUGUCAUUUAUUUGAAAGGGGCAAUUGCUCCACUACAAGAUGGACCUGCGUUGUAUUAGCUAGUAGGUGAGGUAAUGGCUCACCUAGGCGACGAUACAUAGCCGACCUGAGAGGGUGAGCGGCCACACUGGGACUGAGACACGGCCCAGACUCCGACGGGAGGCAGCAGUAGGGAAUCUUCGGCAAUAGGGGCAACCCUGACCGAGCAACGCCGCGUGAGUGAAGAAGGUUUUCGGAUCGUAAAGCUCUGUUGUAAGUCAAGAACGGGUGUGAGAGUGGAAAGUUCACACUGUGACGGUAGCUUACCAGAAAGGGACGGCUAACUACGUG
rnacentral:rRNA from 1 species